GUCCAGCAGACCACAUAUGGGAACUAUUUCACGCUUCAGUGGUUCGCCUGCGAUUCAAAUCCGUGCUAUCGGUCAACAACAUCAGACCACCUUAUCGAGGAGGUCUCAAAGUUAUCUGCACUGGUCUUGCUCAGUUGCUUCAUCCUGCUCCUCGAGAAAUCGCAGUUACGUACGUUGAUCGAAGGGGUAUGAAAGUUGUUUUCCUUUUCAUCUCUGAUUAUGGGCAAAUUUCAAUGGGAAAGCAACACCUCAUCAUAUUCUGCAAAUAACUUCACAGAACUUCAAUCAAGAACGUGCAUAUAAUUUUGAUACUUUAAUUAAUUAACAUUUGUAUUGAAUUUAUGGAUUUAUUGAAAAUAAAUUAUAUGCAGUGUUU